AUCAAAAGGCCAAGACAGUCUCUUUACUUGACCAAUAACAACAACACAUAGAAAAAAGACCCUCCUACACCAGGCUUGGGCUGCUCAGGGAUUCCUGUGAGAACCCUCCUGUGUUCAGCCUAAGGAUGCCCAUUGUGACAUACAUGACCCAUUUCUGCCCCAGGAGAAGGUCCAGAACCAGUCCAGUAGCCAUGAAACUGGAGGAGGGCUAGAGAUAGAAGCUAUACUGGGUCCUAACGCCUGCAGUUUCAACUGGAUUUCCAAGCCUGCUUCCCCUGGAUAGGAUGGUCUUUCUAUUUUGGGGGCUCCUUUGUGUUAUGCCUAUGGUCUGCCUUUGUUUAUGUCCUGCUUGUAUUUCUAGUUUCUAGUUCUGAAGACAUGAUCAAACUAAGGAAGAAACAAGCCGAUAUCAACAUUUUCUGAGUGACCUUAGAUGGCAGGGUUUUCAUAGUUUCCUCUUUGAUGGCAUCUAAGUUACAGAUAUUUCUCCAGGAGCACAUGACAGCAAUGGAAUGACCAGCAGAGCAAUCAAGUUCAAACUUAGUUCCUGCUAAGUGGACCCAAGGACAAACCUCUUCGACAGACCCGGGACUACCUCCUCCAAACAACAGGCGUCCUCAGCUCAGAACAACAAAGAAAGAGACAACACCCCUACUCCUUUUUUGUUUCCAGGAUCUGAAAUGCUAGAAUGCCCCAGCCACGGCUCAACAGAAGUCCUGCUGAGGUGUUUGCUGUCAUUGUCCAACGCUGUCAGUCAACAACCUAACAACCCUGGCAGGGGGAAAGAGUUACAGAGUUCCCAACACUACCCUGUUGGGAAAAGCAAGCCUAGGAGGAGGUCAUUGCAAUCUGCAAGUAGCCUCCACCAAUGUACCAUCUUCCUAGUACCUAAGCCCCUGGCCCACUGCUCUUAAGAGCCUAACAAACUCACUCCCUUCAUUGACCCCCUCCAUUCUUGUAGGAGAGAGGCUGCCGGUGUGUGCUAAUAAACAGUCUCAUUUGUGGA